rnacentral:tRNA from 1 species
GGGCUAUUAGCUCAGUUGGU